rnacentral:lncRNA from 1 species
AGACAACAGAUGUCUCCAGAAGUGAAGUGGGCUUUCUUUCACCGUUUUUGUCUGCACAGGCUAGAUCAGGAUUCUGACCAUAAGGAAACACUUCCAGAGCAGGAGGUGAUGUGGACCAGCUGGGAGCUCUGUGAAACUCCCCAGGGAACAUCUCCAUCUCCAGAUCUGAAGACAGAGAGUGGUGCUUGCCUGCUAACGGGACAAAAAGGAAUGUAUUUGGAAGAAAAUAGCAAGAAAAACAUGGAGUUUUUUCCCAGGGGUCUGCAUGAUAAACCUGCUCACAGGAAGUUGGAUGUCUCAGAGCAAGAAAAGGGAAAAAAGCACCCAGGAAGUGCAAACCAAAGAAAAGGAAAACAGCUGAGCAAAGGCAUUUCUGAGCCACAGGCAUUGAACUCUCCAGGACUGCCAGGUAAAACACUGAUGCUGUCCUACUCCCUGCUCCCAAAAUGCAUUUCCCCACUUUCACCAAGGAGCUGUGUCUCCACCUGCAGCUGGGACUUGCUGUAGGACCCUGUUUGUGGCUGAGGCAGUGGUGGGAAGGGAG